AGUUGAACAAGGUAACACGGGCUUUUAGCAGAUAUCGAUAGUUUGAAGUCAGUGCAGUUUUUUUCGACUAUUUUUAAGCCCUCGAAGACAAAACUGUUCAGUAGCCAGAAGCUUGGAUUACCCAUAGUGCUAAGAAACGAAUUUCCAACAAUGGUUUGUACAUGGAAGUGGUUCCUGGUAUUGUUUCUGAUACUUUCAUUGCAAAUGUCGUUGAGUUUUAGUUGGCGAAGGAGAAGGUGGAUCCGACCAAAGUGUAUUUGUAACAAGAAAUAUCAGCCCAGAUGUAAAUUGAUGUUUAAGGCCAGCAAUGGAAAGAAACACCUAGUCGAAAACAAAGGGUGUUCGAGCAGGUGUGGAUACUGUUACAAUGGUAUCACGUGCAGGCAUGCCAGUACCCUCGGAGUCUGGGAAACCUGGACAUGUCAGAAAUAGCGCUAUGGUAUCGGACUUAUAUCCUCAGGGGGUGGGAAAGGGGAUAUUUUCUGUAGCAGACUACUUAACAAUUAGACUGAUAAACUUUAGUGUUCUAUCGCGUGAUAAUAUAAAUCUACUAGUCGUUCAAAAAUUAUCAACAAGAAAGGCUAAGUUAUGUUUUUCUCCUAACUUUACCCACUAUCUACCACAGAAUCAAUAGCGGGUAACGUAGCCAAUCAGUUUGCAGCGUCUGUGAUAGAGCGCUAGUAGUUUUAUACUAAACGGGAAUAUACUUCGCCCGAAAGUGACACCCUUUUUUUUUCGAGUUUAGGUAUUGAAAGGAAAACUAUAACUGACUAAAUGGAGUAAAAAGGAUGGUAUUUUUUUUCUCUUUCUCCAUCAUGAACUAUUCGUGAGGUAGUUUCUAAGGGCUGUUUCGUCUAAGGAGUAGCAAAGGUUACUUAAAAUAAAAAUGAAAUGGGACUGGGGAUAAACCUUGGCAUCCCCCCGCGUAAAAACUUUAAUCUGUUAAACAACCCGGCAUCCCAAGAUUGUAUUACUACAUGCAUUGGGCUCCGUACAUGUUUCCGUUUCUAUUUCUGAAACAGACGGAAGUGUUUUCCAUCUACCUACCUACCUAAACGCAAAUUCGAAGGGAAAUAUGUAAACCAGGCUUUUGUCACUUCAAGAUGAAUUACUUUAGACUACGAGAAGUCCCUCCUUUCAGCGGUGUCCGUCAGGGUAAUGAAAAAAGAUUAGCGAGUAAAAAAAAUUGAUUUCAGCACCUUGCGCGGAACUCGAGGAGAGAGGCGCACGAAAAGUACUGAUGCGCCUCGCUCUCUGAGUUUCGCGUCCCGCUCUAACGUCAAUUUUCUUGUUUUCUGUUUUUUGACUGAUUUCGCUGAAAAGUGGGGUGGGGGGGGAUGCUCCUGUCUAAUAUCUUUUAUUUGACAUAUUUCAGGGAGGGAAAAGAGUGCGGCACACUUAAAACAAACGGGUCUUUUUAGAGCUACAGGUGCAACAAUGAAUCGAUUAAACUAUUGGAUCAACAAACCUGUGCACUCGUAAAUGUUAAUCUACGCUAACAUGGCAAAUUUAAGAGAGGAUAGCAGUUCAUCCUCUCCUGGACUAAUUCAAUAAAAAGUAGAGGUGCUUAUGUAUUAGUUCGACAGGAUGGUUCAACUAACACGUGAUAUCUUUUUAUUAC
rnacentral:lncRNA from 1 species